GCUCACCCCAAAUAGCCCAUCUCUGGAUUGCUGAUCUGAUCCUGAGGAACAGCUUGUGAGGGAUGACAUCAUGGUUGCUGGGAGGUGGGGCUUUGUGCAUCUAUUCUGCUGACUCAUGGAACUCACCAUAUGAAGCCAUGCUUACAGGGUAAUGGCCACCAAAGACCCAGAGAGGUUUCCCUGGACACCUGCAGACCCAAGUGAGGACCAGUCAGCACAGUUGUCCAGACUCCCAAACAAGUUCAAGUGAAAGGGUUGGUAAUGCCUCCUUCACAGACCCUAUCUAUAAUUUCUUCCGGGACAGGGCCAGCCCAUACACUUUAUUUCUGAUCCAGAACUAAACUGCGGAACAUCAGAUCAGCUAGAUGCUAGAAGCUGCUGUGGUUUCCAAGCUGCCUCGUUCAUUAUUGGAAAGAAAUCCCGACCCCAGUCACACACAGGCCAAAGGAGCCUCAAGACCCUUGCUGAGUUCUGGCACCGCCAUGGGAUUCUCACUCAAGCUAAUCUCCAUGGCAAGCCUUGAUGCCCCAAACAGACUCCCAGUUCAGCACUGAGCAGUUUUAUGACUUACCUGAUUU